AGCCCCUUGAAAGAUGGCAUCAUUCCAAUCAACUUUGAAGGCCGAGGCACAACAACAUUGUCAUCCUUUCAUGUUCUUUCCUGAGUUGGUGUGGGCAGCAGCGGUCACAAAGCCAGACCGGUGGGCAUCAGGUGGCAGCACUGGAGGUUUGCGGCAACUAGAGUGUGCAGUAUGGGGAUUGUGAGGCCCCGCUGAUGCACCCUUGCUGAACUGGGAAUAAUGCACCUCUGAAGCUGUUGCUGCUUUCCGCCGUUUCUGGGCUACAGGAUGCCGGCACCAGUUUGAUCCAAAACAAAAUCCACCAAACGUUUGAACAUCCUCUAAGAAGAUGUGCAUUCUGAAGUUCGACCAAGAUUCAACAAUUAUCCUUGUGGCGCUUCUCUAAGCAACACCGUUCCCACCUGGUGCGUGCCUUCCGCCAACUGAGCCACGACGAGCGCUGCCAGGCAUUCCCGAGCCACCGGGAGCGCUGGCGCGUGCAUCGCGUCGUGGAGGCUCUCGAGCAGUACCCAACGCAGACUGUGCGCGGAAUGGCCAAGCUCAUCGGCAUGUCCAAGACGCGAGUCUACGAGACUCUUCGGGACGCCUUCUCGAGGCUGGAGGACUUCUGCUGUUGAACGAGCGUGCGAGUUUCGACGGGCAUUUUGUUGACUUCGAGGAGAGUGCGUUGCCACA